GAUGAACGCUAGCGGCAGGCCUAAUACAUGCAAGUCGAGGGAGAAUGUUGGAUUCGUCUGACAUGAAACCGGCGCACGGGUGCGUAACACGUAUGCAACCUACCUUUAACUGGGGUAUAGCUCAGAGAAAUCUGAAUUAAUCCCCCAUAAGACUACGACAUGGCAUCAUGAUGUAGUUAAAGCUCCGGCGGUUAAGGAUGGGCAUGCGGUACAUUAGCUAGUUGGUGAGGUAAUGGCUCACCAAGGCUACGAUGUAUAGGGGGUCUGAGAGGAUGAUCCCCCACACUGGUACUGAGACACGGACCAGACUCCUACGGUAGGCAGCAGUAGGGAUUAUUGGUCAAUGGACGUAAGUCUGAACCAGCCAUGCCGCGUGAAGGAUGAAGGCCCUAUGGGUCGUAAACUUCUUUUAUUAGGGAAGAAAAAACGGGAUGCGUCCUGUACUGACGGUACUUAAUGAAUAAGGAUCGGCUAACUUCGUGCCAGCCGCCGCAGUAA
rnacentral:rRNA from 1 species